GAUCCCAAACCCCUCCACGUCCGAUUUUUUUGCCAAACCACCGCCUCUUGUGCCCAGAGCCGCCCGUGCGAUCUCGCCGGAGUUUCGCCGUCCAGGAGCUCUUCAUUGGUCGAUUCCGUCGCCACUAGGAGAGACGCUCUAGGACGAGGUCCGAGAUUUCCGCCAGAGUUCUCCGACGCCGCCGCGCCAUAGUUGGAGAACCGCAGCCAGCAGAGGCCACCCCGUCACCCGGACGUCUCCGACCUCCCUACCGUCGUGCACCUCUUCCUCUGGUCGGUCCACCAUCGCCGGAGAUUCCCUGUAGUCGUCACCGUCGUCGAGGUCUGAGCCGCCGAGGUCCUCUUCUCCAAGUCCGGUGGCCGCCCAGCCCUGUCUCUCCGAUUGUCCAAAGUGUGAAGCGGAUCAGGAUUAAUCGUUAGAGUACUUCAACAAUGUUCAAGGCAAGUUUGCACUUUGAUUGUGCUUAUCCUAUAUUCUGCUAUGCAAGUGUGAUUUUAUGCUAAGAUAUAUGUUUGGCCUAGCCGUGUUGUCAUGUUUUGGUAUUGAUUGUAUUAUGUGUUGGUGUGAUCAAGUUGCUAUGGUAGACGUGGGCAUGUGUCGAGUUAUGCAUGGAAGUGGUGAGCGCACUUGAGUUGUCGGGGCUUUUUCUCAUGUGAAUGCAUCACUCGCUGAGCGCUCUAUUGUCCCUAGAGAAUGCGCCAGGACUGAGCACACUUGAGACAUCUUGAAGAUCUUUGUCAUCUGUGUUGUGUGCACCUUGCCUAUGCAAUGGAGGAUUUUCAGAUGAUUAGUGAGAUACAGUAGGGUUGCAAGUCUUCACUCAGCAGUUCGCUAGUGGGCAUUGACGGGACUCAUCGUUUAUUAUGCUACAUUUUCCAUUGUUAUUAUUGAAUAAAGCUAGCUAUGUGCUACUUAGUUUGUAAUACUUUAUGAAUUCUGGAUCAUACGUUAUAGUAAAUAAUGCACUUGUUAUUUGGUA